rnacentral:rRNA from 1 species
UCAGGAUGAACGCUAGCUACAGGCUUAACACAUGCAAGUCAGGGGCAGCAUGAUCUAGCUGCUAGAAUGAUGGCGACCGGCGCACGGGUGAGUAACGCGUAUCCAACCUUCCCUAUAGUAGAGGAUAGCCCGGCGAAAGUCGGAUUAAUACUCUAUGUUGUUCAAUGCGGACAUCUAAGUGACCAAAGGUUUACCGCUAUAGGAUGGGGAUGCGUCUGAUUAGAUGGUAGGCGGGGUAACGGCCCACCUAGUCGACGAUCAGUAGGGGUUCUGAGAGGAAGGUCCCCCACAUUGGAACUGAGACACGGUCCAAACUCCUACGGGAGGCAGCAGUGAGGAAUAUUGGUCAAGUGGGCGCGAGCCUGAACCAGCCAAGUAGCGUGCCAGGAUGACGGCCCUAUGGGUUGUAAACUGCUUUUAUAUAGGGAUAAAGUGCACUACGUGUAGUGUUUUGUAGGUACUAUAUGAAUAAGGACCGGCUAAUUCCGUGCCAGCAGCGGC